UACGUAGGGUGCAAGCGUUGUCCGGAAUUAUUGGGCGUAAAGAGCUUGUAGGCGGUUUGUCGCGUCUGCCGUGAAAAUUCGAGGCUCAACCUCGAACUUGCGGUGGGUACGGGCAGACUAGAGUGUGGUAGGGGAGACUGGAAUUCCUGGUGUAGCGGUGAAAUGCGUUGAUAUCAGGAGGAACACCCAUGGCGAAGGCAGCUAACUGGGCAUUAUCUGACGCUGAGGCGCGAAAGCGUGGGUAGCAAACAGG
rnacentral:rRNA from 1 species